AAAAGCAGGCUUCAGGAUUUGAAGUUUGAGCCCAUCCCUGAGGUAGAGCCGGAAUUUACCUUUGUACUUCACACGGUCAGGGUUGGUGGUGACUACGUGGGUCUGGAGCUGACUGCCGUCCUGACACGUCCUAGAGCUGCAAGCAGAUCCUGCCAGAGAGCCACCAUGACCUCUCAGCCUCUCAGGCUAGCAGAAGACUAUGGCCCAAGUCCUGGGGAGUCUGAACUGGCUGUGAACCCCUUUGAUGGGCUUCCCUUCUCUUCCCGCUACUAUGAGCUGCUGAAGCAGCGCCAAGCCUUGCCCAUCUGGGCUGCUCGCUUUACCUUCUUGGAGCAGUUGGAGAGUAACCCCACUGGAGUGGUGCUGGUGUCUGGGGAGCCUGGUUCUGGCAAGAGCACCCAGAUCCCUCAGUGGUGUGCAGAGUUUGCGCUGGCCAGAGGGUUCCAGAAAGGACAGGUUACUGUUACUCAGCCCUACCCUCUUGCAGCCCGGAGCCUGGCUCUGCGGGUUGCUGAUGAGAUGGACCUGACCCUGGGUCAUGAGGUUGGAUACAGCAUCCCCCAGGAGGACUGCACGGGGCCCAACACCCUGCUCAGGUUCUGCUGGGACAGGCUGCUUCUGCAGGAGGUGGCCUCGACCCGAGGCACUGGAGCCUGGGGCGUGCUGGUACUAGAUGAGGCUCAGGAGCGGUCGGUGGCAUCGGAUUCACUCCAGGGGCUACUGCAAGAUGCCAGGCUGGAAAAACUUCCGGGGGACCUCAGAGUGGUUGUGGUUACUGACCCAGCCCUUGAACCUAAGCUUCGAGCUUUCUGGGGCAAUCCUCCUAUUGUGCAUAUACCCAGAGAGCCUGGUGAGAGACCUUCCCCCAUCUACUGGGACACCAUCCCACCUGAUCGGGUGGAAGCUGCCUGCCAAGCAGUGCUUGAGUUGUGUCAGAAGGAGGCUCCAGGAGAUGUGCUAGUGUUCCUGCCCAGUGAGGAGGAAAUUUCUCUGUGCUGUGAAUCCUUGUCCAGGGAGGUAGAGUCCUUGCCUCUCCAAGGGCUUCCACCACGAGUACUGCCCCUUCACCCAGACUGUGGACAAGCCGUUCAGGCUGUGUAUGAGGACAUGGGUGCCCGAAAGGUUGUGGUCACUCACUGGCUGGCUGACUUCUCCUUCUCCCUCCCUUCCAUCCAACAUGUCAUCGACUCAGGACUGGAGCUCCGAAGUGUGAGUGAGAGAGAGAGAUGGCGGUGGGGUAGUAAAGACAGAAAUGGCCCACUCUGAUCUGUCUUGGCCUUGGUUGGGGGACGGGCAACAGGUUUACAAUCCUAGGAUCCGAGCAGAAUUCCAAGUGUUGAGGCCAAUCAGCAAGUGUCAGGCAGAGGCAAGACGACUGCGAGCUAAAGGGUUCCCACCAGGUAAGAGCUUUUGCCCUCACUGAAAUAAAAAACCCAAGAGUCACCAACAUGCAAGCCCAGAGAAAUCUACAGUGGUCUUCUUUCCCAGGUCUUUUUCCCCUCAGGAUCCUGCCUCUGCCUGUAUCCUAAGUCCUUCUUAGAACUAGAAGCUCCACCAUUGCCCCAACCCAGGGUGUGUGAGGAGAAUCUGAGCUCCCUGGUGUUACUACUAAAAAGGAGACAGAUUGCAGAGCCAGGGGAGUGUCACUUCCUGGACCAGCCUGCUCCAGAAGCAUUGAUGCAAGCCCUGGAAGAUUUAGACUAUCUGGCAGCCCUGGAUGAUGAUGGGGACCUGUCGGAUCUGGGUGUCAUACUAUCAGAGUUCCCUCUGGCCCCUGAGCUGGCCAAAGCCCUGCUGGCCUCAUGCGAGUUUGACUGUGUGGACGAGAUGCUCACCCUGGCUGCCAUGCUCACAGCUGCCCCUGGGUUUACCCGUCCUCCACUCAGUGCAGAAGAAGCUGCCCUGCGUCGGGCCCUGGAACACACAGAUGGUGACCACAGUUCUCUGAUCCAGGUGUAUGAAGCCUUUAUACAAAGUGGAGCAGAUGAGGCUUGGUGCCAGGCUCGAGGUCUGAAUUGGGCAGCAUUGUGCCAAGCCCAUAAACUUCGGGGAGAACUCCUAGAACUCAUGCAACGAAUUGAACUUCCCUUGUCCCUACCAGCCUUUGGCUCUGAGCAGAAUCGCAGAGACCUUCAG
rnacentral:sRNA from 1 species